rnacentral:pre_miRNA from 1 species
UCUUACAGAUGAGCAAAGAAGGUGGUUUCUUGAGAUGGAAUCUACUCCUCGUGAAGAUAUUGUGAA